rnacentral:rRNA from 1 species
GUAGGUGGCAAGCGUUGUCCGGAAUUAUUGGGCGUAAAGCGCGCGCAGGCGGUUCUUUAAGUCUGAUGUGAAAGCCCACGGCUCAACCGUGGAGGGUCAUUGGAAACUGGAGAACUUGAGUACAGAAGAGGAAAGCGGAAUUCCACGUGUAGCGGUGAAAUGCGUAGAGAUGUGGAGGAACACCAGUGGCGAAGGCGGCUUUCUGGUCUGUAACUGACGCUGAGGCGCGAAAGCGUGGGGAGCAAACAGGAUUAGAUACCCUGGUAGUCCACGCCGUAAACGAUGAGUGCUAAGUGUUAGGGGGGUUUCCGCCCCCCUUAGUGCUGCAGCUAACGCAUUAAGCACUCCGCCUGGGGAUACGGCGCAAGGCUG